ACUAACUACUUUAGGAACCACACAUUUUUUGUAAAUAAAUAAUACAUUACAUAAUUAUUUUUAUUGUUAUUUGAUAAGGAGGUCUGACGGUGUUUAAAAUUUUAAAAAUCGAACAUGUCCUUAAAUAAAUGCAAUGCGAAACAAAUACGAUUAAAUAGUAAUAUAAAUUCUUACGGAUCUAAUAGAUUAUCUUAUUGAUGUGACUAUACGCUAUGUGAUACGAUGACAAUAUUAUUAAAUUAGGCAAGAGAAAACCAUCUUUUGACCUAAGUGAAACAGUAGACCGAUUCGGGCUUGAGCCGGCCUAAAAUCUGAAUCCCGCUUUUCUGUCAGUCUAUUAAUAGUCAAUCCAGGCAGCUCUUGUGUUCUGCAGCGACGUCGAUUUACAACGCCGGUUUGGGACUCCUUCGCAAUGGCGACUUUAUUGGGUAUCCAAUUAAUUAUUACAAUGAUCGCCAUUAAUCUAAUACAUCGUCUUAGUCCUAUCUAUUCUUUUGCUCGUUGGACACUAUGUUCCACAGGACUUGUUCGUUAUUUACACCCUACUGAUAAAGAGCUUAGACAGUUAUCAGGGCUGAAGAAAAAAGAUUCAAAAUCAAGUAAGAGACCUAUACAUGCUCAAAAUGAUAAUAUUGAUAUAUUUCAAAUACCCAAAAAUUUAGACAUUGAAUUAGAGAGUCAACCUAUUCAAGAACAUGAAAUAUAUCAGCUCAGAUAUUUUAUGGAAUAUCAAUGGCUAGUAAAUUUCUCUUUAUAUGCAGCUUUAGUCUAUUUAAGUACUGAAAUAUACUCUUACUAUUCACCAAUUGAUAAUGAAAUUAAUCUUAGUAUGUUAUGGUGUUCAAUCGUCAUUGUUUUUACAUUCAAAAUUCUUAUGUCUCUGACUUUAGAAUACUUUCGUGGUUUUGAAUCUUCGGGUGAACGUUCAACUGUAAUAGUUGCAGCUUGCAUUCAUUUAGUCAUUGCUAUGGUUAUUUUAGUCAUAGACGAGUCCAAACUUGAUGUUCGGUUGGAUACUGCGUAUAGAAGCUUUAAUGAAACUUCAACAGCAUUUUUAAACAAUCAUGGCUUAUCUUCACAAGGACCUGCAUCAAAGUUAAUUGUAAAAUUUUUCCUAGCUUUAUGGUGUGCAGUUACAGGGGCUAUGUUUGUAUUUCCUGGAAUACGUACAGCAAAAAUGCAUUGGGAUUGUCUUAGAUAUUAUGAAUGCAAUGAGUUACAUGGCAAAUAUUUUUCAUGUAGUUCAACUUUCAUUAAAGGCUUUAUGAAUUUUAGUUUAAUAACUCAUUUUUUACUAGUUCUACUUUGGGUAAAACCAAUAGCAGUGGACUUAUUAACUGCGAAAAAUCUUUCUGGAUUAAAUAAACCAUUAAUGACAUUAGAACAAUUUGAAAGCUUACGUUGUUGGAUGGUAGUAUUAGUGGUAUUUCAAAGAUUAUAUCUGAUGCCUACGUUUAUGCAAGCUUAUCUUAAUAUGGCUCAAGAGCGUUUGGAACAACAAAAAAAAGAAGCUGGAAGAAUUACCAAUAAAGACUUACAAAAACAAGCAACUUUAGUUGGGUUCAAGUUAUUGUCAAUUCUUCCCCGGUAAUAGAUAUUAGUAAUCAGAAUUCAUUACUUGAAGCUAAUCAAGCACAUUUUUCUAUUCAGUCUUUGAAACAAGUAUUAACAGUAGAUGUAUACCGAGGAAUAUUUGGCUUUGCUACGUGGUGGAUAUGUUUUUCAUGGUUUCUAUCUCUGUCAGUUGGCGUGUUC
rnacentral:misc_RNA from 1 species